AUGAACGCUAGCUACAGGCUUAACACAUGCAAGUCGAGGGGCAGCAUUUUAGUUUGCUUGCAAACUAAAGAUGGCGACCGGCGCACGGGUGAGUAACACGUAUCCAACCUGCCGAUAACUCGGGGAUAGCCUUUCGAAAGAAAGAUUAAUAUCCGAUAGUAUAUUAAAACCGCAUGGUUUUACUAUUAAAGAAUUUCGGUUAUCGAUGGGGAUGCGUUCCAUUAGUUUGUUGGCGGGGUAACGGCCCACCAAGACUACGAUGGAUAGGGGUUCUGAGAGGAAGGUCCCCCACAUUGGAACUGAGACACGGUCCAAACUCCUACGGGAGGCAGCAGUGAGGAAUAUUGGUCAAUGGACGAGAGUCUGAACCAGCCAAGUAGCGUGAAGGAUGACUGCCCUAUGGGUUGUAAACUUCUUUUAUAUGGGAAUAAAGUAUUCCACGUGUGGGAUUUUGUGUGUACCAUAUGAAUAAGGAUCGGCUAACUCCGUGCCAGCAGCCGCGGUAAUACGGAGGAUCCGAGCGUUAUCCGGAUUUAUUGGGUUUAAAGGGAGCGUAGGUGGAUUGUUAAGUCAGUUGUGAAAGUUUGCGGCUCAACCGUAAAAUUGCAGUUGAAACUGGCAGUCUUGAGUACAGUAGAGGUGGGCGGAAUUCGUGGUGUAGCGGUGAAAUGCUUAGAUAUCACGAAGAACUCCGAUUGCGAAGGCAGCUCACUAGACUGCAACUGACACUGAGGCUCGAAAGUGUGGGUAUCAAACAGGAUUAGAUACCCUGGUAGUCCACACAGUAAACGAUGAAUACUCGCUGUUUGCGAUAUACAGUAAGCGGCCAAGCGAAAGCAUUAAGUAUUCCACCUGGGGAGUACGCCGGCAACGGUGAAACUCAAAGGAAUUGACGGGGGCCCGCACAAGCGGAGGAACAUGUGGUUUAAUUCGAUGAUACGCGAGGAACCUUACCCGGGCUUAAAUUGCAUUUGAAUAAUCUGGAACCAGGUUAGCCGCAAGGCAAAUGUGAAGGUGCUGCAUGGUUGUCGUCAGCUCGUGCCGUGAGGUGUCGGCUUAAGUGCCAUAACGAGCGCAACCCUUAUCUUUAGUUACUAACAGGUCAUGCUGAGGACUCUAGAGAGACUGCCGUCGUAAGAUGUGAGGAAGGUGGGGAUGACGUCAAAUCAGCACGGCCCUUACGUCCGGGGCUACACACGUGUUACAAUGGGGGGUACAGAAGGCAGCUACCUGGCGACAGGAUGCUAAUCCCAAAAACCUCUCUCAGUUCGGAUCGAAGUCUGCAACCCGACUUCGUGAAGCUGGAUUCGCUAGUAAUCGCGCAUCAGCCAUGGCGCGGUGAAUACGUUCCCGGGCCUUGUACACACCGCCCGUCAAGCCAUGAAAGCCGGGGGUACCUGAAGUACGUAACCGCAAGGAGCGUCCUAGGGUAAAACUGGUAAUUGGGGCU
rnacentral:rRNA from 1 species